rnacentral:lncRNA from 1 species
AUCGACCAGAUCAGGUGUUGACGUGGGCGAGAGGGUCUGUUUGUGUGUUUCCACAGGACCAGACGGAACCUCUUUGGGUGCCGGAGAGAUUGGUGAGACGCUGCAAGAAUGAGGCUCCUGAUCCAGUUGCCCCUGUGGAUGUGGUGGAUAUUCCCACAAGCACAAACAAUGGAGCCGAGAUGGGAGAUCCUUUCGGUGUUCCAGAAGCGCCAAUACCAGCUCGACAUGA